GAUGAACGCUGGCGGCGUGCCUAAUACAUGCAAGUCGAGCGAACAGACGAGGAGCUUGCUCCUCUGACGUUAGCGGCGGACGGGUGAGUAACACGUGGAUAACCGACCUAUAAUACUGGGAUAACUUCGGGAAACCGGAGCUAAUACCGGAUAAUAUAUUGAACCACAUGGUUCAAUAGUGAAAGACGGUUUUGCUGUCACUUAUAGAUGGAUCCGCGCCGCAUUAGCUAGUUGGUAAGGUAACGGCUUACCAAGGCAACGAUGCGUAGCCGACCUGAGAGGGUGAUCGGCGACACUGGAAGUGAGACACGGUCCAGACUCCUACGGGAGGCAGCAGUAGGCAACCUUCCGCAACGGGAGAAAGCUUGACGGAGCAACGCCGAGUGAGUGAUGAAGGUCUUCGGAUCGUAAAAAUCUGUUACUAGGGAAGAACAAAUGUGUAAGUAAGUAUGCACGUCUUGACGGUACCUAAUAAGAAAGCCACGGCUAACUACGUG
rnacentral:rRNA from 1 species